UCGGGAAUCUUGGGCAAUGGGGGCAACCCUGACCCAGCAACGCCGCGUGAGGGAUGAAGGCCCUAGGGUCGUAAACCUCUGUCGGGAGGGAAGAAAGCUCCUGAGGUGAACAAUCUCGGGGGUUGACGGUACCUCCAAAGGAAGCGCCGGCUAACUCCGUGCCAGCAGCCGCGGUAAUACGGAGGGCGCGAGCGUUGUUCGGAAUCAUUGGGCGUAAAGCGCGUGUAGGCGGCUUGGCAAGUCGGGCGUGAAAGCCCGGGGCUCAACCCCGGAAUUGCGCUCGAAACUGCCUCGCUCGAGUCCCGGAGAGGAGGGCGGAAUUCCCGGUGUAGAGGUGAAAUUCGUAGAUAUCGGGAGGAACACCGGCGGCGAAGGCGGCCCUCUGGACGGUGACUGACGCUGAGACGCGAAAGCGUGGGGAGCAAACAGGAUUAGAUACCCCGGUAGUCC
rnacentral:rRNA from 1 species